rnacentral:sRNA from 1 species
GAUAAUCAAAUCUGUCACUAUUGCGCCUCUAACAGAUUCAUCGUGCUGUACCCUACAUACAGCCGAACUAUAAAAAGAAAGGGCUUCCCAGGUGGAAGCCCUAUUUCUUUU